rnacentral:snRNA from 1 species
AGACCUUUCUCGGCCUUUUGGCUAAGAUCAAGUGUAGUAUCUGUUCUUAUUAGUUUAAUAUCUGAUACGUGGGCCAACGGCCUACAUGAUAUUAAAUUAAUUUUUCUUGGGGUAUGGCCCAUCACAAUUGCUUGGUAUUCGGACUUUAAUAUGAUUUUGGAUGAAUGGUUGUGAAUUAACCCAGU